GAGUGGAAUGUAAGGCUUAGUAUUUUGAAGCUGAGCCAAAGAGGACGGGCUGAGAAGGCAGCUCAGUGCCAGGAGAAAAAACUCCAGGCGAAAUUGGAGACGGGCCAGAGAGAGGCUCGGAGGGUGUCCUGCAAAAGUUUGGCCGGGGGCAGCCAAAAACUGACGGAGGAGGAAUGAAUCCUGGAACAUGUGCACGUGACAAGCCGAGCUGAACUACAGCAGCUACGGAAUGGAGGGAGAGAGAGAGUCACACAGCAGAGAUUGGCAUGGAACCAAGGAGGACGGACUCAGAGCUAUCUUCUUGGACUUUGUGAGGAAGAAAAGACUUCAGCAAAGAGCUGGAGGGGAAAAGUCCAAAAUAGAGAGAAA